rnacentral:pre_miRNA from 1 species
GUAACCUUCUCACUAUUUGUCACUGUCAGAAUAAGUUUUUUCCAUUGGUGACUGUCAAUAUAAAAAACUUGUUCUGACAGUGACAAAUAGUGAGAAGGUUAU